GGUGGGCCCUAUGGCCAAAGCAUAGGAUUCACUUAAGAAUUCAUAUUAAAGAUGUAGUGAUCUGUCUAAGGAAUAGAAACAUUUUUCUUCAAUAGUAGACCAACGUCUUCUUCAAUAUUAUGUAGCAGAAACGUUUUUCUUCAAAUAACAUGGCAAUAUUCUCUUCUAAACACAUAGCAGCUACGUUAUUCCAUUUCACCGUGUAGUGGGAUCUGGGUUUCUUCAAGAUGAAGUAAUAUGGAAGAAGAGUAUUUCUUGGCAUAUAAGACCUGCGAGCUCGAGAAGUAGACGUUGGACAUUAGAUAGAGUUCAAGGUAUGUGAGGCUAGUCCUUUCUAUCUAUGGCAUGAAUCUUAUAGCUUGACUCUCUUUUUAUCCAUGAGUUUCCUUAAGUUCCGGAAAAUAUGAGUCUAUGUCCCUAAUUAGCCACACAAGGUAAUGAGUAAAGUAUAGAAAUCCCAAUACUCAUGUUGUGAUGAUCCUAUGAUGUUAAUGAUGCUAUUUAUUGCUUACACUCACCUUAUAUGUUAAUUCCUUCAAGGUGAGGCAGGAUGUCAAUGAAUGUUCCACAAUGACGUCGGAAGCCACCGACCUCACGUCACUCCGAUAUAGUUAUGGUUUUUGAUUGGGCUCUUACGCAUUCUUUAUAUAUAUACGUAUGUAUUUUCUCACACCGCGCCGCGCUAUAGUCGGCCGGGCAGGCACGUAGAUGUGCACACCACUAUAGUGGGCAGCUUAUACCCCGGACGCGGGAGGCCUGGACGCAGGCUAUGAUUAUCACACCGCUCCUACAUGGACGGGCAGCUUAUACAUUAUCACACCGUACCUAUAUGGACGGGCAGCUUAUAUAUGUAUACGUACAUGACAUGAUAAUGAUUAUGAGUAAGUCAGCAUGCAGUAUGCCUCUAUAAUUCACAGUUAGUUACAUAUUAUACCUUAUUUUAUUGAUGCCUCCCUAUUUCAUUGAUGUAUUAUUAUUGAUUAUGCCUCUCAUACUCAGUACAAUAUUCGUACUGACGUCCGUUUUCUUGGACGCUGUGUUCAUGCCCACAGGUAGACAGGGAGAUGAUCUUGAUCCAGGUUUAUAGGAGUUAGCGGCUGAUUUGAGAGCACUCCAUUGUUCGGAGGUGCUUAUGGUUAUUCUGUGUGUAUAUUUAUGUAUAUUUUGGGCAUGACGGAGUCUUGUUCCGCCUAUAUGUAUAGUACUUCAGUAGAGGCUCGUAGGUACGCAGCGUGGGUAGUAUGGUCUCACAGUUUUUACGUAUAUGCAUACUGCUAUUUUGAUAGCCUAAGGGCUUAUGUUUAUAAAAGUACGAUUUCUAGCAUGAAUUGUA